UACGAAGGGGGCUAGCGUUGCUCGGAAUCACUGGGCGUAAAGCGCACGUAGGCGGGCGAUUAAGUCAGGGGUGAAAUCCCGGAGCUCAACUCCGGAACUGCCUUUGAUACUGGUCGUCUAGAGAUCGGAAGAGGUGAGUGGAAUUCCCAGUGUAGAGGUGAAAUUCGUAGAUAUUGGGAAGAACACCAGUGGCGAAGGCGGCUCACUGGUCCGAUACUGACGCUGAGGUGCGAAAGCGUGGGGAGCAAACAGG
rnacentral:rRNA from 1 species